rnacentral:rRNA from 1 species
UACGUAGGGUGCAAGCGUUGUUCGGAAUCAUUGGGCGUAAAGCGCGUGUAGGUGGUUUGGUAAGUCGAUUGUGAAAUCCCUGGGCUCAACCGAGGAAGUGCAUUCGAAACUGCCAAGCUAGAGGACGGUAGAGGGAGGUGGAAUUCCAAGUGUAGAGGUGAAAUUCGUAGAUAUUUGGAGGAAUACCGGCGGCGAAGGCGGCCUCCUGGGCCGUUCCUGACACUGAGACGCGAAAGCGUGGGGAGCAAACAGG